rnacentral:rRNA from 1 species
AUGCCGCUCUUGGUCCAUCUGGACCAAACAUGGUUUUUGUGUGGCCGCACUAUCUCAGAAAACUUCCUAUAUGCGGCCGAUGUCCUACACGUCUGCGCUAGAAGGAAAGCUCCCACCAUGGUGAUCAAACUGAAUUUCUCAAAAGCUUUUGACUCCGUUUGUUGGCCCUCCCUGCUUGCAAUUCUUGCUGCUCGAGGAUUCCCUGACAAAUGGAUUAAAUGGAUAGAAUCAAUGCUUAUUUCUGGCAAAAUAGUCAUCCUUCUGAAUGAAAUUCCCGGUCCAUGGAUUCAAUGAAAGAAUGGGUUAUGACAGGGAGACCCUCUAUCCCCGUUUCUCUUCAUAAUAGUUGCAGAUGUGCUCCAAAGAAUGAUCAUAAAGGCUUGUUAG